rnacentral:rRNA from 1 species
GACGAACGCUGACGGCGUGCUUUAGACAUGCAAGUCGAACGUGAAAGCCCUUCGGGGUUAGUAAAGUGGUGAACGGGUGAGUAACACGUGGGCAAUCUGCCCUUCGUUGGGGGACAACCGGGGGAAACCCCGGCUAAUACCCCGUAAGCUUGUCGGGUCGCAUGGCCUGACAAGGAGAGGUAGCUUCGGCCAUCCGGCGAAGGAGGAGCCCGCGGUACAUUAGCUAGUUGGUGAGGUAAAGGCCCACCAAGGCGACGAUGUAUAGCUGGUCUGAGAGGAGGAUCAGCCACACUGGGACUGAGACACGGCCCAGACUCCUACGGGAGGCAGCAGUCGGGAAUCUUGCACAAUGGGCGAAAGCCUGAUGCAGCAACGCCGUGUGAGCGACGAAGGCCCUAGGGUCGUAAAGCUCUGUUGUUAGGGACGAAGGGCGAAGGGUUAAUAGCCCUUAGCCUGACGGUACCUUUCGAGGAAGCCCCGGCUAACUACGUGCCAGCAGCCGCCGUAA